GUAAUCCAGUCAUGAGUAAGCAUUUUCUAAUGUCCAUUAUAUCCCUUUAGAUAUUACUUAAACCAAUAUUAUAAGUAGAUAACCUGUAUUAGUAUUUUUGUCUGUAUGUCCUAGCACUGUUCAACAGCAAAUUUUUCUAGUUCUUGUUGAUUUUUAUUUGUUAUACAAUGGAAGCACAAUGUUAUAAGGAAAGGUAAUUUUAAGCUAACAACCAGUGCACAGCCUCAGGUUUUAAAUUACAACCACAGUUGAAUAAUAACCUAAAAAUAAACUCUUAGUUUGCUAAAAAUUUACAAAUUUUAAUUUGGCAGUUCCAGAGCUGCUUACCUAUGUUGGUUUGCCAAAAAGAAGUGUUUAAGAUAUGUUUUCUGUAUAAAAUAACUAAUUCUUUAUAUUAAAUUCCUGUCUAUGCAUUUUGUGAGGUACAAACUUAUGAAACAGUGAGUGAUAGAGAAUUUCUGCCAUGCUUUUAACUCCAAGGUGAAAGUCUCUUUCUCUGGAUUAUUUCUGAAAUUUUGGUGUAUUUAACCAUUAAGAAAUGCUGUAUUCUUAAAUAUGACACCGAGUCAAUCUAAAGUCAUAUUAUUCCUCCUAGUUAAAUACAAUAUUACUAGAUUAGUUCUCAUUAGAUUUAUUAUAUGCUAAAGAUUAAAAAUCCAGUUAGAUAAAAAUUAUUUUCCCAUCCACAAUCAUUGCACCUUUAAGAAGAAAACAAAUAUGACAAUAUGGUAUCUAUACUUGUGAUGUCUGAAAGCAUGAUGGCUUAUGGUUUUAACAAUAAUAUCUUGGAAUUUAUUUGGGGGAAGAAAGAAUGGUUGAGUAUGACAUCAUGUGUUAAUAUCAAAUGAAAGACAAGGGUGCUGUAUCUUAUUUAUCAGAAAAGUAUAAAUCUUUUAAGGACAUUAGAAUUUUUAAUUGUUUGAUUAUUGAAGCAUUUAUCUUGAUUUCUUACAAAAGAAAAAGGACGAUGUCAGUCAAGCAGCACUUUUUCAGAUUAUACAGAACAUAAAUAAUAUGAUGUGGUUGAGUGUUAACAUAAUAAAUCAUAUACAGUAUGACAUUUUAAGGAAAUAAGUCUGCAUUGAUGUGAUUGCAUGCUUGUUUUUACAGUUCACUCCAUACCAUCUGUGGAAAAAUGCAAUAAUAUGUUAAUAUAGUAUGGUAGUUUGAGAGAAUCAGGUAGGUGCUACUAGACACAUUGAAACUAGAAUAGGUUUAUAAACUGUUCAUAUCUUUCAAUGCAUAAUCUUUAGAAAGACUCCACAAAGCAAAAUUCAUCCUAUGAGUACAAAAUGGAAAGGUUAUUAUUACAGAAGUAAGUUGUAUAAACUGCAUCAUCAAUUGCUAUUUAAAGCCUAAUUUCAGGAUGCAUUUACAAAAUUGCUACUCUUCAUCGAUGCCGUAUUUACAUCCCUUUUCAUUUCAUCUGUAUUCUACUUGGCUCCAACUGCUAAAUUGUUGCCUAAAUAACUCAAUCAUUAUUUAUAGCACUGUACAAUUAGAAGAAAUCCAAAAUUGGUUGCAUUUCAAGACUUUUGACUCUUUUAACCCUUUACAGUAAUAUUAAAAACUCAUUAGAACUCUGUAAAAGACACUAAUUGGUACAGUAUGAUUUGUGAGAUCUAAUCAAAUAUUUUGCCAGUGAAAAUAGAUUUGAAUUGAGUAUUAUUUUCAGUUAUUGAAAGAAAAUGACAAUGGAGUUAGAUUUUCUUAUCUUAAAAAUGAUUUGAUUUCUACCAAACAAGGAGAUAAAGUGUGAAAAUUCUGCUCAUUUCUCUAAAAAUCAUAAAAUAGGAAAUGACAUUUCUAAGUGGACCAUGUCAAUUGCAAUGCCUGAAAUGUUUGAACUUCUCUGCCCAGAGAGCCAUAUUCUGUCUUUGCUUAGUGAGCACCGUAGCCACAGAACUCAAUGAAAGGAGUGCAUACACACACACACACACCCCUAGUAGAAUAUGGAACAUUAUUCUUUACCAAAAGUAGAUGUUCUCUGCCAGUGUAUGUUUACAGUGUAAUUUGAUUGUCCUCCAUCAAAAAAGUGUGAACAGCAUUCUUUUUUCUUUUUCUUGUUUCCAUUUUUUGAGUGUCCUAGGUAGAACAAUUAUCAAAAUUAGGAAGAAAAAGGAAUGUUUAUGAGUGUAAGAGCAAAGAGAGAAAGCAUGAGCAAAGUAUUGGUGUGUGUGCGUGUGUGUGUGCGUAUGUGUGUGUGCGUUAGGGAGAAAGAGAAAGAGAGAGAGAGAGAUUUCAACUCGUUUUCUUUUACCAGAGAAUACAAGAAGCAGUUUAAGGAAUCUGAUAUUGGAGUUUAAUCUAGAAACUAGAUGAUCUCACAUUGAUUCAAGAUGCUUAAUCUUGCAUUGAAACCCCUCAAUUAAAAUAACAAAUAGAGAAAGAAAACUAACUUUCCUAAAUAUGGCAAAGACACUAAUGCCUCAUUUAUUUUUAUUUCUUUGUAAAAAUAUAAAUAUCUCAAUUAAAAGGACAGGCUCACUUGUAAUUAUGUACUCAUGAUUGUAACAGCAUUGAGAUUCCAUAUAGGCACAUGUACAGCAGCUGUUUGACGGUGAUGGUUCUUCCAUGUAACAUAGCAGUUAUCGUGUAAUUUAGUGCCACUUACUGCAAAGUGUUACCAAGGGGAACAUUAAAAUACUUUUUCUUUUUUCUUUGGCUAUAAGGAUAAUUCAAUGAAUGAUAAAUGUGGAAUUUCAUAUUAUGUUUUUUAAUUUGGAAAAAAUUCCAAAACUCAUCUCUAACUGCAAAUUCCCCAUCACAUAGUUAAUUACUUAGAGCCCUCUAAAAAUGCCCACUUCAAUUCCCCCUUUGCAAAUAGUAAUCUGUGAUAAAUAUACAAUACAAAACAAAACAAAAAAACAACUGGAAACCACAGUGGAAAUAGAUGAAAACACCUAAUGAGAAUUACUGAGUAAUGCUUUUUAUUAAGUGGCACAAAGUACACACUAAAAACUAUGCAAAAUAUAGGUAACUACAGUGUAUGUACAUGUAAGUAUCUUGUACUUGCUGUGUAUGGAUGUUGGAAACCCAUGUAAUUAUAAUAUGCAUUUUGAAUAUUGGGAAAGAGGAAAUCUUAGUGUAGAUAAUAGAAUUUGUUUUGAAAUAUACACUGGCAAUAUUGAAAUAUACUCAGUGCAAUAUCUGCAAUUCUAUUGCUGGAUACUUAAUGCAAAGGGAUUUUAAAGAAUUCUUCAACAAGAUCUAAAAGAUUGCUAAUCUUCACAUCCCACAUAUUAAAGCAUUAAUUAAAAAUACAACUGCCAUAACAACACUUUAAAUUUUUCACGUUAAUCAUUAAUGUGACACAAAAUUAUCUGGCCUAGUUUUUAGCAUUACUGGAGAGAAAGAAAUAACCUAAGUUUUAAAAUUUUGAUCCAUAUCUAAUUGAAUUUGGAAUUCUUAAACUUUCUUUGAAAGUUUGUAUAUUUUAAUGGAUUAUGGUACUUUUAUUAUAAGUACAAAUUUAUUCAAUCAAAGAACAUAGGUUAACUUUAAUAGAGUCACUAUAUCUUAAUGGGAAUUUCUAAUAUAUUUUCUUUUUCCAUUCAUUCUUCCCUUUUUCUCUCUGUUUCACCCCAAAACAUGCCCUUUGCACUUAUACCCUUCCAAAGGCAAUGGAUUGAAAGUAGCAAGAUUAUAAAGAGCGAUAAAGGGAACAGCAUGUAAAAAAUGGGUUCUAAAUUCAUCAGCAUUUUUAUGUAUUGAGAUUAUUAAUAUCGAAUGCAAUAGUUAUUGGAGAUAGCUGGUAAAUUCUCUGCCAUGCAUACUUACAAUAAUCCUUCUACCUCUCACUUUUAACAUGGGCUAUGAUACUUCAAUAUAAAUAGAAGAAAUAAUUAUGUACAAGAUAUCCCAGGAAGCACUCUUUUGGGACCAUAUUAACGGUCCACUCCCCACUCCCUGGGAAAUCUCAAAAGCCAACUUUACUUUCAGUGUAUACAGAGGUGUAUGGAUAUGCAUUUGUUUUUCCUUUUCUAUCAUUAACUUUUCCUAUAAGCAAAAUACAAUAACUUUAUAAGGAUAGUUCUUCUCAUGCCUACUUCCUAUUUCAAUGUGAUAUAAUUGUGUUGAUUUAAAAAAAUUUAAAUGGCAACACUUUGCAAUCCAAUAUCUGUUUCAUUUAAUAUUUAAAAUACACAAUUUCUUAUAAAUUCUGUCUUUUAAGCAAAAAUUAUACAUAUGAUUUAUUUUCCCAAGAAGUGUUAUCUGUGUAAGAAAAAUAUUUAAAGUAUUUAAUAAUGCCAUAUUAACAAAUAAACCCUGAAUAAUAACAAUGCAAAGUAUUGCCACAAAUACCCACUUUAUUUUGUCUGCAUAGACAUAAUACCAAUUCUUCAAAUGAUGUAAUUUAAUUAUUCUAAAAGGAAAAUGACAUUUUGAAAGCAGAUUUUUCCUUUAGAAAAAAAAAGAUAAAAAAUUAUCUCCAAUUAUGAUGCUGAAUCUAUAAAAUAUGCUUAAAGUAAGACAUUUCUGUUAUGUGGUUAUGUUACAAGUAAUAUUUGGUGUGAUCUUUACCAUCUUUCUCAUAUAUGUUAUAAAAAAUGUAUGGUUAUUUUGGAGAGAAUGGGCCCAAAUGUGAAAAGGAUGUAAAGAAAAAAACCACUAUUUUCCCCUAUGAAAUAUAUUGUAUAUUUCAAAAGAAGAAACUUAAAAGAUUUUUGAAGAUUGCAGGGGCAAAGGAAAACCUACCAGGGCUCAGCACUUAAGCACUUUUCCCACAUCCAGGGUCAGAACAGCAGUAAUUCCUACAUGGACUUUUAAGUGCGGUAUGAAAUGCCACAUUACACUUCUCUUACACACAGUACUGUCAAACCUCAAAAGUUUUCUUUCUUCAGAUGCUUUUCCUUGUACAUGAUACUAGUAGACACUUUUCUCUUUAUAUUUGCUGAUAGUGAAAGUUAUAUGCAAUAAAAUAUUUGAUGGUUGAAAGCAGUGGUCACCAGUUGGUUAAAAAAAAAAAACUAUGAAAUGUAAACUGAAUUGUUCUCUUUUUUGCUUUUCUCUGUGUUUCUAAUGUAUUGACUGAGUCUCAUAAAUAGAAAGAAAAUAACUUAGAAAAAUUUCAAAUCUAGUACUCUUUUUCCUUAUAAAUGUAUAAAAUUAAUCUCUUUACAAAUUUAUUUAACUGUACCUGCUGUACUUAUUGUAGAUUCAAUGAUGCAGUUAAGUAGUAACCCAAGGAUUUAUGAGUUUGGGAUUACUGACCUAUUUUUUUUUUUCAUAUUCAGUUCACAUCAAUAUUUGCGAAUUGGUUGUUUAGCUUUUCAGUCAACCAAGAAAUAUUCCCUCGUGAAAGCUCCAUUUUUAUCAUAAAUAUUUCAACAUAACAAACAUCAGAACAAGUCUGCCAUGUUAAAAAGAAUUUAAAGACUUAUCUCUGAAAAUGGUACCCAGAAAUGCAGGUUUCCCAGUGAUGUAGCUUCAAAAAUAAAAUGUUCUAUUUAUAUGACAUGAAAUUCAUAACUUUUGGAAGGGUAUAUUUAUGACAGCAUAAAAAUAAAUUCUGUGCUAUAAAGAAGAUGCAAUGAAAUCAAGCAUAUUGCACAGAAGGUAGAGAAACACAAUUAUUGAAUCUACUAUUAUCAUUAACAUUUUCAAGAACCAAAAUGCAUAUUGUAAUAUUAGGUACAUGACACUUGCAUGUUGAUAUGCCUAUAUACUUACAAAGUAUUCAAUGUGUACUUAGUGGCGCUUAAACUAUGUCAUGUACAACUCUUAUAAACAUUCUUACAGGGUUCCCAUUUGCACUUCAUCUUUUGGUAAAGUUUUGUCAGAAAAGAAUUGUCUGAUAUAUAUGGAAAAAUAAAAUUUGAAUUUUAGUUACCCGUUGGACAUUACUGAAUGGUCUAUUCAUUUAGUUCAUUUUCUUAGGCUUGUUAAAAGACACUGAAAGGUGGAAUUUUUUUCUCCCACUGACAGAUUAUAAAAGAUGUUAUAAAAUAUAUUCCUUUAUGCCUUUACUUUGCAUAUCUUUUUUCAACUGCAUAUAUUAUCCAUUCAUUUUAGGUUUCUUCAGUGAUGCCCAUUUUCUUUGUAAAUUUCUAAAUGGAAGUUUUAAAAAUUAAGCAGUGGUAAAACAAAUGUUAUCUUAUUUGUACAUUUAAUCGUUACUCCUUGGAAUAUAUGAACCUUGUAAUAUGCUGACUAAGGGUUAAGAAAAUGUUGCUGACUUAGGAAAUUUGCUUGAGAUUGCCAAAAUUCCAAAACUCUGUAAAAGUAAUUUUACAAUCACUUUUGUGUGUUUACUAAUGUUGACUAGGAACAAAGCAAAAACACUUAAACAUUUUUUUUUUAAUUUUCACAUUCUAACCAGUAUUAUAUAUUUCAACUACCUAAGAUAAUGCAAUUAGUAUUAUAUCCAUCCUAAGCUUAUGCCAAUAAGAAUUUGAGAUAAGCUUUUAAAUUUAUGGAGGAUUUUCUUUGUGUCUUUGGAAGUUCACUUACCAUAAGGUAUUUUAUAGUCUACUUUAAAUAACAGAUUUUGUUAUACAGGGUAAGCCAAAGGCUGUACAAGAAUUAGUGUCAUUGGGUCUGAUAUUUGUGUUAGACCAUGAAAUAUUCCAUUAAAAUUUAUCUGU
rnacentral:lncRNA from 1 species